AGUGAACGCUGGCGGUAGGCCUAACACAUGCAAGUCGAGCGGCAGCACAGUAAGAGCUUGCUCUUACGGGUGUCGAGUGGCGGACGGGUGAGGAAUACAUCGGAAUCUACUUUUUCGUUGGGGAUAACGUAGGGAAACUUACGCUAAUACCGCAUACGACCUACGGGUGAAAGCAGGGGAUCUUCGGACCUUGCGCGAUUGAAUGAGCCGAUGUCGGAUUAGCUAGUUGGCGGGGUAAAGGCCCACCAAGGCGACGAUCCGUAGCUGGUCUGAGAGGAUGAUCAGCCACACUGGAACUGAGACACGGCCCAGACUCCUACGGGAGGCAGCAGUGGGGAAUAUUGGACAAUGGGCGCAAGCCUGAUCCAGCCAUACCGCGUGGGUGAAGAAGGACUUCGGGUUGUAAAGCCCUUUUGUUGGGAAAGAAAAGCAGCAGGUUAAUACCCCGCUGUUAUGACGGUACCCAAAGAAUAAGCACCGGCUAACUUCGUG
rnacentral:rRNA from 1 species